GACGAACGCUGGCGGCGUGCUUAACACAUGCAAGUCGAACGGAAAGGCCCUGCUUUUGUGGGGUGCUCGAGUGGCGAGCGGGUGAGUAACACGUGAGUAACCUGCCCUUGACUUUGGGAUAACUUCAGGAAACUGGGGCUAAUACCGGAUAGGAGCUCCUGCUGCAUGGUGGGGGUUGGAAAGUUUCGGCGGUUGGGGAUGGACUCGCGGCUUAUCAGCUUGUUGGUGGGGUAGUGGCUUACCAAGGCUUUGACGGGUAGCCGGCCUGGGAGGGUGACCGGCCCCAUGGGGGCUGAGUUCCGCCCCGACCUCCUCCGGGGGGGAGGGGGGGGGAUUUUGGCCAAUGGGGGGGAGGCCGUAUGCAGCAACCCCGCGGGGGGGAUGCCGGCCUUCGGGUUGUAACCCGUUUUCGCCUGGGCCGAAGGGGGGGUGGCGGUAAGGGUAAAAGAAGCACCGGCUACCUCCGU
rnacentral:rRNA from 1 species